rnacentral:rRNA from 1 species
GGCAUGAGUAGCGAUAGACGAAGUGAGAAACUUCGUCGCCGUAAGCCCAAGGUUUCCUGGGGAAGGAUAAUCCUCCCAUGGGUUAGUCGGUGCCUAAGUCGAGGCCGAAAGGCGUAGAUGAUGGGAAGCAGGUUAAUAUUCCUGCACCAUGAAGGCUGGCGUUGAAGUGAGCAGGGACGGAGAAGGAUAUGCCGGACCACCCGUUUGGUCGUGGUGGUUCAAGCGCGUAGGCGGAUCCCGUUGGAGGCGACAGCCACAAACGCGGGGUCAACGCCGAGACGUGAUGAGGUGAGUCUUCGGACUCGGAACCCGGUGAUUCCAUGCUUCCAAGAAAAGCUGCGCACAGAGCCACUUUCGUGACCGUACCGCAAACCGACUCAGGUGGGCGGGGUGAGUAUCCCAAGGCGCGUGAGAGAACGCUGGCUAAGGAACUCGGCAAAAUAGCACCGUAACUUCGGGAGAAGGUGUGCCCGCCGACGUGAUGGAACUUGCUUCCUGAGCGUUGGCGGGUCGCAGUGAAAUGGGGGUUGCGACUGUUUACUAAAAACACAGGACUGUGCGAACUCGUAAGAGGACGUAUACUGUCUGACGCCUGCCCGGUGCUGGAAGGUUAAGGGGAGAGGUUAGCGCAAGCGAAGCUUCGAACCGAAGCCCCAGUAAACGGCGGCCGUAACGAUAACGGUCCUAAGGUAGCAAAAUUCCUUGUCGGGUAAGUUCCGACCUGCACGAAGGGCGUAACGACAUCCCUACUGUCUCGGCCAGCGACUCAGCGAAAUUGUAUCGGGGGUGAAGAUACCCUCUACCCGCGGCAAGACGGAAAGACCCCAUGAACCUUUACUGCAACUUGGCAGUGAGGUUCGGAACAGUCUGCGUAGGAUAGGUAGGAGGCUUUGAAGUCGGGAUUCCGGUCUCGAUGGAGCCGUCGUUGAAAUACUACCCUGGCUUUUCUGGACUUCUAACCUAGGCCCCUCAACGGGGUCGGGGACACUGCCUGGUGGGCAGUUUGACUGGGGCGGUCGCCUCCCAAACAGUAACGGAGGCGCGCGAAGGUACCCUCAGGCUGAUUGGAAACCAGCCGGCGAGUGCAAUGGCACAAGGGUGCUUAACUGUGAGAGGGACACCUCGAGCAGGUGCGAAAGCAGGCCAUAGUGAUCCGGUGGUCCCGCAUGGAAGGGCCAUCGCUCAUCGGACAAAAGGUACUCUGGGGAUAACAGGCUGAUCGCGCCUGAGAGUCCAUAUCGGCGGCGCGGUUUGGCACCUCGAUGUCGGCUCAUCGCAUCCUGGGGCUGGAGCAGGUCCCAAGGGUUUGGCUGUUCGCCAAUUAAAGCGGUACACGAGCUGGGUUUAGAACGUCGUGAGACAGUUCGGUCCCUAUCUGCCGUGGGCGCAGGAUACUUGAGAGGAGCUGUUCAUAGUACGAGAGGACCUGAACGGACGCACCUCUAGUGUUCCGGUUGUCAUGCCAAUGGCAUAGCCGGGUAGCUAUGUGCGGAACGGAUAACCGCUGAAAGCAUCUAAGCGGGAAGCCGGCCUCAAGACAAGGUAUCCCGGGGCAUAAGCCCCCUGAAGGCCCCUUGAAGACUACAAGGUGAUAGGCGGGAGGUAGAAGCGCAGCGAUGCGCGGAGCUGACCCGUACUAAUAGGCCGUGCGGCUUGACC